UCUCCGUUGGUGAACCAGCGGAGGGAUCAUUAAAGAGUUGCAAAACUCCCAAACCAUUGUGAACAGAGCUUCAACUUUACUUCGGCGUGUUUACCCCACUCUCCUGGGUCCCCGACCCUCACGUGCGCCCGCCUGAGUUACCUAACUCUGGGACUUUUAUGGCAUCUCUAAUUCUUUUUUCUUAAUAAGCCAAAACUUUCAACAACGGUUCGCUUUGUUCUGGCAGCGAUGAAGAACGCGGCAGAGAUGAAGAACACAGCUCUUAACUCGAGUAACCGC
rnacentral:misc_RNA from 1 species